rnacentral:rRNA from 1 species
AGCAGCCGCGGUAAUUCCAGCUCCAAUAGCGUAUAUUAAAGUUGUUGCAGUUAAAAAGCUCGUAGUUGAAUUUCGGGGUUAGCAGGUCGGUCGUGCCAAUGGUAUGCACUGGCUCGCUGACUCCUCCUUCUUGUAGAACCGUAAUGCCAUUAAUUUGGUGUUGCGGGGAAACAGGACUGUUACUUUGAAAAAAUUAGAGUGUUUAAAGCAGGCCAACGCCUGAAUACAUUAGCAUGGAAUAAUGAAAUAGGACGUUCGAACCUAUUUUGUUGGUUUCUAGGAUUGACGUAAUGAUUAAUAGGGAUAGUUGGGGGCAUUAGUAUUCAAUUGUCAGAGGUGAAAUUCUUGGAUUUAUUGAAGACUGACUACUGCGAAAGCAUUUGCCAAGGAUGUUUUCAUUAAUCAAGAACGAAAGUUAGGGGAUCGAAGACGAUCAGAUACCGUCGUAGUCUUAACCAUAAACUAUGCCGACUAGGGAUCGGAUGAUGUUAAUUUUUUAAUGACUCAUUCGGCGCCUUACG